CCUACGGGUGGCAGCAGUGAGGAAUAUUGGUCAAUGGACGAGAGUCUGAACCAGCGAAGUAGCGUGAAGGAUGACGGCCCUAUGGGUUGUAAACUUCUUUUAUAAAGGAAUAAAACGAGGCACGUGUGCAGUUUUGCAUGUACUUUAUGAAAAAGCAUCGGCUAGCUCCGUGCCAGCAGCGGCGGUAAUACGGAGGAUGCGAGCGUUAUCCGGAUUGAUAGGGUUAAAGGGGUGCGCAGGCGGAUUUUUAAGUCAGCGGUCAAAUCGUGGGGCUCAACCCCACCCAGCCGUUGAAACUGGGGAUCUAGAGUGUGCGAGAGGUAUGCGGAAUUCCUGGUGUAGCGGUGAAAUGCAUAGAUAUCACGCAGAACCCCGAUUGCGAAGGCAGCAUACCGGUGCACAACUGACGCUCAGGCACGAAAGCGUGGGUAUCGAACAGGAUUAGAUACCCCAGUAGUC
rnacentral:rRNA from 1 species